UACGAAGGGGGCUAGCGUUGCUCGGAAUCACUGGGCGUAAAGGGUGCGUAGGCGGGUCUUUAAGUCAGGGGUGAAAUCCCGGAGCUCAACUCCGGAACUGCCUUUGAUACUGGUAGUCUUGAGUUCGAGAGAGGUGAGUGGAAUUCCGAGUGUAGAGGUGAAAUUCGUAGAUAUUCGGAGGAACACCAGUGGCGAAGGCGGCUCACUGGCUCGAUACUGACGCUGAGGUGCGAAAGCGUGGGGAGCAAACAGG
rnacentral:rRNA from 1 species